rnacentral:lncRNA from 1 species
GAAGGACUGUAAGGUGUACAUGUCCAACUGGCAGGUGUCAUCUGACCUUAACCUCAUUUUCAUGGUUCAGUGGUUAUAGUUAAAUUUUUGUGUUUUGGUCUGUUUUUCUCAUACUAUAUGCAAUAGGUCUACUAUAUAUUUGUUGUAUGGAAUGAUUGUAAGGUGUACAUGUCUAGCGGGCAGAUGUCAUGUGACCUUGACUUCAUUUUCAUGGUUCAGUGGUCAAAGUUAAGUUUUUGAGUUUUGGUCUUUUUAUCUAAUACUAUAUGCCAUAGGUCAACUAUAUUUGGUGUAUGGAAAUAUUUUAUGAUCUUCAUGUCAGUCGCGCAGGUUUUAUUUGACCGUGACCUCAUUUUCACGGUUCAUUGCACAGUGUUAAGUUUUUGUGUUUUGGUCUAUUUUUCCUAAACUAUAAGUAAUGGGUCAACUAUAUAUGUUGUAUAGAAGCAUUUUUAGCUGUACAUGUCUGCCUGGCAUGGUUCAUCUGACCUUGACCUCAUUUUCAAGGUUCAUUGGUCUUUGUUUAGUUAUCUUGGUUAAUGUUAAGUUUAUGUGACAGUUGUAAUAAAGCUAUACUUUAUACUUAAGACUAUCAACAUAAUAUCAAUGAUUAGUAUAGAAGGCGAGACAUUUCAGUGUGUGCACUCUUGUCUGAUUUUUUGUUAUAUCUGUUUUACAAUUAAAUGUGUUAGAUAUUCAAAAAAGUACAUAUUUUAUAGUCCAGCC